AACAAACAGCUGGCUUUUUAAGUGCUGGUGGUCCCAACUCAGGCCUGUAAGCCAUCUUCACAGCUCUGGAAGCUGGAUCUUUGUGCAGUUGUGCAAGGCUGAGAAAGAUCAGCUGUUUCUGGUGCUAUGGGAACCCUGAUGGGGAAGCCAGUCUCCUCGAGUCUGACUAAACAGCCUAGAGGAGCAGAGAGGUUCGCACAGGCCAAACUAAACACUGGGCUAGAGGGGUUCCACAGAUGCAGAUCCAGGAAGUGUGUUCUAGCUGAGGGGCUGUUUCUACCAUAGAGGAGGGUGGAAGGAAACGGUGUAGCAUGAACAGUAACCCUGGGCACCGAAGAAAGAGGAGAACAUACAGAAGCAUUCACAUCCAGCAGCUCACAACAGCCUAUAACUGGUGGUGACGUUCAGAUAGCUGUGCGGCUACAGCUUAUCUUUAUGUUGAAAUAUUAUGUAUCAGUAGGUAGUAAUAGUAA
rnacentral:lncRNA from 1 species